rnacentral:lncRNA from 1 species
CGGCUGCUUUGCUCAUUACUAUUCCAAUAUUUUCUCUCUCCCCCCCCCAAAACCACUUUUUUCCUCUCUUUUCUCUUCCCUUCAAUUCCCUCUCUCUCCAUAAGCAAAAGGACAUGAAGGAAGAAUAAGAUCUGGCGUCCAUUCUCUUGGAGAACGGUAAAGGAACAAGAGAGCAAACUGUAAAGAAAGAGCAAAGAGAAGUGGGCUGAUUCGAUUCGCCUUGGUAAUCGUUUCCAUGCAUGACCACGACCAACUCAUAUUCCCCCUCCCCUUUAUUUGUCCCUCACCAAUCUUUACAUUCUCCUUUAUUUUCUCACCCGCACUCCCCUUUGCCUGUGUUUUUUGUCUGCGUGCGUGUUUAUUAGGUAAAAAGAGAUAUUCUUUACUUGCAUUCUUCUUUAUUUCUUUUUUUUUUAAAGAAACUUUAUUAUUAUAUGUUGAUGAU